rnacentral:sRNA from 1 species
UGAUAGUGACAGUGAUCUUGAAGUGCUG